GGGGGAUUAGCUCAGUUGGUUAGAGCAUUAGCAUGACACGCUAGGGGUCACUGGUUCGAAUCCAGUAUCUCCCACCA
rnacentral:tRNA from 1 species